GACGAACGCUGGCGGCGUGCUUAACACAUGCAAGUCGAGCGGUAAGGCCCUUUCGGGGGUACACGAGCGGCGAACGGGUGAGUAACACGUGGGUGACCUGCCCUCAGCUCUGGGAUAAGCCUGGGAAACCGGGUCUAAUACCGGAUAUGACUCCAUGACGCAUGUUGUGGGGUGGAAAGCCUUGUGCGGCUGAGGAUGGGCCCGCGGCCUAUCAGCUUGUUGGUGGGGGAUGGCCUACCAAGGCGACGACGGGUAGCCGGCCUGAGAGGGCGACCGGCCACACUGGGACUGAGACACGGCCCAGACUCCUACGGGAGGCAGCAGUGGGGAAUCUUGCGCAAUGGGCGAAAGCCUGACGCAGCGACGCCGCGUGAGGGAUGACGCCU
rnacentral:rRNA from 1 species